UGGGGAAUUUUGCACAAUGGGGGAAACCCUGAUGCAGCGACGCCGCGUGAUUUAGAAGGCCUUCGGGUUGUAAAAAUCUUUUCUAUGGGAAGAAAAUGACAGUACCAUAGGAAUAAGGACCGGCUAAUUACGUGCCAGCAGCCGCGGUAAUACGUAAGGUCCGAGCGUUGUCCGGAAUCAUUGGGCGUAAAGGGUACGUAGGGGGGUAAGCAAGUUAGAAGUGAAAUCCUAUAGCUCAACUAUAGUAAGCUUUUAAAACUGCUCAUCUUGAGGUAUGGAAGGGAAAGUGGAAUUCCUAGGGUAGCGGUGAAAUGCGCAGAUAUUAGGAGGAAUACCGGUGGCGAAGGCGACUUUCUGGCCAUAACCUGACGCUGAGGUACGAAAGCGUGUGUAGCAAACAGG
rnacentral:rRNA from 1 species